GACGAACGCUGGCGGCGCGCUUAACACAUGCAAGUCGAACGGAAAGGCCUGCUUUCCCUUGUGGAUUGCGGGUACUCGAGUGGCGAACGGGUGAGUAACACGUGAGUGAUCUGCCCCCAACUUGGGUAUAAGCCUGGGAAACUGGGUCUAAUUCCCGAUAGGACUGCAGGGUGGUGCCUGUGGUGGAAAACGAUUUUCUAGUGGUUGGGGAUGAGCUCGCGGCCUAUCAGCUUGUUGGUGGGGUAAUGGCCUACCAAGGCGGCGACGGGUAGCCGGCCUGGGAGGGUGGACGGCCACAUUGGGACUGAGAUACGGCCCAGACUCCUACGGGAGGCAGCAGUGGGGAAUAAUGCACAAUGGGCGGAAGCCUGAUGCAGCGACGCCGCGUGGGGGAUGACGGCCUUCGGGUUGUAAACUCCUUUCGACCGCGAGGAAGCCACCUGGUUGGAAGGGUGGUGACGGUAGUGGUAGAAGAAGCACCGGCUAACUACGUG
rnacentral:rRNA from 1 species